rnacentral:rRNA from 1 species
GCAGUCGAGCGGUAGCACAGAGAAACUUGUUUCUUGGGUGACGAGCGGCGGACGGGUGAGUAACGCGUAGGAAUCUGCCUGGUAGUGGGGGACAACAUGUGGAAACGCAUGCUAAUACCGCAUACGCCCUUAGGGGGAAAGGAGGGGAUCUUAGGACCUUUCGCUAUCAGAUGAGCCUGCGUGAGAUUAGCUAGUUGGUGGGGUAAAGGCUCACCAAGGCGACGAUCUCUAGCUGGUCUGAGAGGAUGACCAGUCACACUGGGACUGAGACACGGCCCAGACUCCUACGGGAGGCAGCAGUGGGGAAUAUUGGACAAUGGGGGCAACCCUGAUCCAGCCAUGCCGCGUGUGUGAAGAAGGCCUUAGGGUUGUAAAGCACUUUCAGUGGUGAGGAAGGGUGCGUAGUUAAUACCUACGUAUCUUGACGUUAGCCACAGAAGAAGCACCGGCUAACUCUGUGCCAGCAGCCGCGGUAAUACAGAGGGUGCAAGCGUUAAUCGGAAUUACUGGGCGUAAAGCGCGCGUAGGUGGUUUGUUAAGUCGGAUGUGAAAUCCCCGGGCUCAACCUGGGAACUGCACCCGAUACUGGCAAGCUAGAGUAC